GGCAGGAUGGCCGAGUGGUUAUGGCGGAGGGUUCAAGUUGUCACGACUUGUCUUGUGUAUUAAAACACCGAGAUUUCCUCUGGAGCAAUCCGCAGGGGUUCGAAUCCCCUUCCUGUCA